AUGGAUUGAGGCAAUAAGCAUCAGUGGCUACUAAAACCCCCCAAAAUAGAAACAACUAGACAUGUAUGCUUCUUGAUGAAAUUUUAAAAGAAUGCAAUCAACAAAAUCCAAAAUGUGAAACUCUGUAGAGAAAAUGACUCAAUUUUCGUCAACAAAUAAAUUGCAAGAAACAAAAAGAAAUGAGGGAGAACUUAUGGAUUAAAAGAUUUAUAAGAGACAUAACAACCAAAGAUCCAGGGAUAUGAUUUCAAAGCUCAUGUGGAAUGAAGACUGCCCCACCUGAAAGCAAUCUACCCAAGUAAAAAGAAGAAGGAAGAAAAGAAAAGGGCAGAAUGCAACUGAAGCCCACAAUUUGGGAUAUCUAGGAUGGGGAGGAAGAAGAGGAAAUAAGAGAAAUUCCAAUUACAUGUGCACAGAGAGGAGACAGAAGGAGUCAAGAGAGAACAGGCCAGCAUAGCUUGUGAUCUGGAUCAGGAAGGUGUAGCCACUUGAAUGACCCAUAAAUGGAGACCAUGCAGG